rnacentral:tRNA from 1 species
GGGGCUGUAGCUCAGUGGCAGAGCGCUUGCCUAGCAUGCGUGAGGCACUGGGUUCGAUCCUCAGCACCA